rnacentral:rRNA from 1 species
AGUGGCGGACGGGUGAGUAACGCGUGGGUAACCUGCCUCAUACAGGGGGAUAACAGUUAGAAAUGACUGCUAAUACCGCAUAAGACCACAGCACCGCAUGGUGCAGGGGUAAAAACUCCGGUGGUAUGAGAUGGACCCGCGUCUGAUUAGGUAGUUGGUGGGGUAACGGCCUACCAAGCCGACGAUCAGUAGCCGACCUGAGAGGGUGACCGGCCACAUUGGGACUGAGACACGGCCCGG